CCAGACUCCUACGGGAGGCAGCAGUGGGGAAUAUUGCACAAUGGGGGAAACCCUGAUGCAGCGACGCCGCGUGAGUGAAGAAGUAUUUCGGUAUGUAAAGCUCUGUCAGCAGGGAAGAAAAUGACGGUACCUGACCAAGAAGCCCCGGCUAACUACGUGCCAGCAGCCGCGGUAAUACGUAGGGGGCAAGCGUUAUCCGGAUUUACUGGGUGUAAAGGGAGCGUAGACGGCAGGGCAAGUCUGGAGUGAAAGGCGGGGGCUCAACCCCCGGACUGCUCUGGAAACUGCCAGGCUGGAGUGCAGGAGAGGUAAGUGGAAUUCCUAGUGUAGCGGUGAAAUGCGUAGAUAUUAGGAGGAACACCAGUGGCGAAGGCGGCUUACUGGACUGUAACUGACGUUGAGGCUCGAAAGCGUGGGGAGCAAACAGGAUUAGAUACCCGAGUAC
rnacentral:rRNA from 1 species